UUCAAUGGUGAUUCAGGCAGGGGAGGCUUCGGCCUCACCGGAAUCUUAGCCCGGUAAUGCGAACCUUGCUUGAAUCGCCACCAUC
rfam:Xenorhabdus beddingii strain DSM 4764 Xbed_19, whole genome shotgun sequence.